AGAGUUUGAUCAUGGCUCAGAACGAACGCUGGCGGCGUGCUUAACACAUGCAAGUCGAACGCGAACGGGUUCUUCGGGACCUUAGUAGAGURGCGCACGGGUGAGUAACGCGUAAGUUAUCUACCUCGGCAUCUGGAAUAACUCACCGAAAGGUGUGCUAAUACCGGAUACGUUGAGUAAUCAAGAAAGGUGGCCUCUGAAUAUGCUACCGUGCUGAGAUGAGCUUGCGUACCAUUAGCUAGUUGGUGGGGUAAUGGCCUACCAAGGCGACGAUGGUUAGCGGGUCUGAGAGGAUGAUCCGCCACACUGGAACUGGARCACGGACCAGACUCCUACGGGAGGCAGCAGUGAGGAAUAUUGCGCAAUGGGGGGCAACCCUGACGCAGCGACGCCGCGUGGAUGAUGAAGGCCUUCGGGUCGUAAAAUCCUGUCAGGUGGAAAGAAAUGUMUAUGUGCUAAUACCAUGUAKAYUUGACGGUACCACCGAAGGAAGCACCGGCUAACUCCGUGCCAGCAGCCGCGGUAAUACGGAGGGUGCAAGCGUUGUUCGGAAUUACUGGGCGUAAAGCGCGCGCAGGCGGUUUGYUAAGUCAGAUGUGAAAGCCCAUGGCUCAACCAUGGACGUGCAUUUGAAACUGGCAAGCUUGAGUAGUGGAGGGGGUGGUGGAAUUCCCGGUGUAGAGGUGAAAUUCGUAGAUAUCGGGAGGAAUACCGGUGGCGAAGGCGACCACCUGGCCACAUACUGACGCUGAGGCGCGAAAGCGUGGGGAGCAAACAGGAUUAGAUACCCUGGUAGUCC
rnacentral:rRNA from 1 species